rnacentral:misc_RNA from 1 species
UCUCUCAACCAUUCAACUCUCUUUCUAAUAUCUCAAUCUUUUUCUCCUCCAUACUUUUACAGAAUGGGAAGCUCUGGUGGUAUUGACUAUGGUUCUUACACUUAUGAGAAUCUUGAGAGGGAACCUUACUGGCCGUCUGAGAAGCUCCGUAUUUCCAUUACUGGGGCUGGAGGGUUUAUCGCUUCUCACAUUGCUCGCCGUUUGAAGAGCGAGGGCCACUACAUAAUUGCCUCUGAUUGGAAGAAGAAUGAG